rnacentral:rRNA from 1 species
CCUACGGGUGGCAGCAGUGAGGAAUAUUGGUCAAUGGACGAGAGUCUGAACCAGCCAAGUAGCGUGAAGGAUGACUGCCCUAUGGGUUGUAAACUUCUUUUAUAAAGGAAUAAAACGAGGCACGUGUGCCUUUUUGCAUGUACUUUAUGAUUAACGACCGGCUAACUCCGUGCCACCAGCCGCGGUAAUACGGAGGAUCCGAGCGUUAUCCGGAUUUAUUGGGUUUAAAGGGAGCGUAGAUGGGUUGUUAAGUCAGGUGUGAAUGUUUGCGGCCAACGCGUAAAAUUGCAAUUGAUACUGGCAGUCUGGAGUGCAGUUGAGGUAGGCGGAAUGCGUGGUGUAGCGGUGAAAUGCAUAGAUAUCACGAAGAACCCCGAUUGCGAAGGCAGCUUACUAAACUGUGACUGACAUUGAUGCUCGAAAGUGUGGGUAUCAAACAGGAUUAGAUACCCUAGUAGUC